ensembl:lncRNA
CGUGAACAUAAAAGAAAUAAAUACGUUAUAUAACAUUUUUAAUAAUAAUUAUCAAACAUAUAGCUCUGAUAAUGAUUAUAUUCCAAAUAUAAAAAACAAACAAAAUAAUGAAGCAAGUAAUAAAAAUUUAUUAUUAAAUAAUAAGAAAAAUAAUAAUUUAGUAUAUAUUAGUUCAAGUAGUAACAAGAACAGUAACAUUGGAGUAACGGUAAAUGAUAAUAGUAGUAGCAUAUAUCUUAAACAUAGCAAAUAUGUUGAUAAAUGGAAUGACGAGUGGUUGGAUAUUAGAACGAUGAAUCGAGAAAGUUAUAUCGAUAUGCAAUACAACACAAAUAAAACAACGUUGCAGAAAAUAGAUGAACAAGCAAGUUUUGCAUUUGGUAAUAGAAGCAGUAGUUGUGAUAGUAAUAAACAUAAUAACGGCGCUUGUAAUAUGAAUAACUAUAAUAACGGCGCUUGUAAUAUGAAUAACUAUAAUAACAGCUAUUGUGAUAGUAAAAACUUUAACAACAGCAGUUGUAAUAUGAAUAACUAUAAUAACAGUUAUUGUGAUAGUAAAAACUUUAACAACAACAGUUGUAAUAGUAACAACUUUAACAACAGUUACAAUUGCAAUACAACUUUCAAUUCGAUCAAUUACAAUAAUGCUUCAAAAAAAGAUAACAGUAGUUAUUUUUUUAAUUCGGUUAAUAAGAUAGAAAAUGAAAACACAAGUUUUUUGAAUGUGUUAGAUAUUGAUUUAAAUUUUAAUAACAAUAGAAAUGGAUUAAAUUAUGAUAACUUUCAGGACGAUUGCAAAAAUGUAAGUAAUGGCAAUUUAAUUUUUAAUAAUAAAAAAAAAAAUGACAAUUUUCAGGACGCUUGCAAAAAUGUAAGUAAUGACAAUAUAAUUUUUAGUAAUAAGAAAAAAGACUAUAAACUACAAAAAGAAACAAAUUUAGUUCAUAUUUUCACAAAUAAUAAUUUUAAAAACGAUUUCAAUAAUAAAUUAAUUAAAAAAAUGGAAAUAAAACCGAUACAUACAAAGCUGACAAAACAGAGCAACAAACUGGAUAAAACAAAUGGAGAAGAUGUAAUAGGUACACAAAAUACGUGUGUUAACUUUAAUUCAUAUGAUUAUUUCGACAGUAUAUAUGACGAAACGUGUGCCAACAAUAUUAGUAAUAGUAGUAUUAGUAAUAGUAGUAUUAGUAAUAAUAAUUUGAUGAUAGGUAAUAAAUUAAAAAACGACAAAAUAUUACUAGACUUGUUUUCGUCGGAUAGUCAUUUUAAUGUUAAUGUGACAACUUAUAAUAAAAAAGAAAUCAAAAAGGAAUGUAUAGAGGGGGUGUGUCCAGAGGAAUUCCCAAAACAAUACCACACCGAAACAAAAAACUUUUCAAUCGACUGUGAAAGUGACAACUCAUUCUUAGCCAUCGUUAAACAAAUAGAUAACGUUAGUAAACAAAUAAUACAAACGGAUAUUAUAGAUGACGAAUUUGUUUAUAAGAAAGACGCGUGUGUUUAUAAGAAAAGUGAUCGUAGAUAUAACAGUCUAGAUAACAUAUACUUUGACCACCUAAACGAAAUAAAUUAUGAAAAAAAGGCAUUAUAUGGACAAAACUAUAAUAACUUGUGGAGUGGAUGCUUAUCCACCAAUAUUAUAAAUGAAUAUAAUAAUGUAAGCUUUAGUGAUUAUAAUAACAUGGAACUUGAUAAUAGUAAUAGCAUAUCAUAUGGAAGUAAUAUAAACACAACACAUAGUAACAAUAGUCAUAUAGCACAUCUACAAAAUUCUAACUUGGUUGCUUAUCCGCAUGACAUUGCAUUUGAAUUUUAUGAAAAAAUAUAUAACAUUCUAGUGAAUAAAAACUAUUUGGAAAUAUUUUUGAUUUUAAAACAACUUGAACAGGAAAAAUAUAAAAAUAUAAGUCUCUCAAAUUUUCAUAAUUAUUUAAAGAAAGUAAAAAAGAUUACAAACAGAGGUAACAAAGAAAUGUACGAUUAUAAUGAUUAUAUACAUACAUGUAUAGAAGAUAUCUUCAAAAUGGAUAUAUUUUUUUAUUUAUUAGUUAACAUAUAUAUAGAUAACAUGAACAAAUGCAUUAGCAAAAAAAAUAUACUAAUAAAUAAUAUAAGUAAUACAAAUAAUUUUAUAAACGACUGCUAUAAAAAACAUGAGAAAGUGUUAACG